GAGAAAGGAGCUGCAGGAAAGAACUUUCCAGUUAUGCUGUAGGACUGCAAAGUGGAAACAUGUGGGGGGUAUCAAGGAGUAAGCCCAGGAGGCAAGUUAGCCCUGAGAUCCUCUCCUAAAUAGAGACAUGGAGCAGUCUCUGGCCUGGAGCAAGCUCUGGUGCUGAGGGUCCCUGAUAAAAGUGCAGGACUGGACUUCCUGGGAGGCGUUCAGCUGAGUAAGGGAAAUGUGAGAGGGGUGAGAAGUCAAGCCUGAGGAGGGCAGAAGUUGGGUUAAAUUUGAAUUUUGGUUGGGCGAUUCCAGCAGGCAGCCCCGUGAGCCCUGGCCCUGCCAGAAGGCCUAACUUGAAGAAGCUGCGGGAAAUGCCAGUUGACAGGCUUUGGUAGAAAGAAGUUCAGGGAAGCAGCAUCACAGAGUCUGACUGAGCAGAUGUUGGUGGUUGGUAGGGUCCUGGACUGGAAACCAGUGUUGGGAGAUGGCCUGGGCUCUCCUAGUCAGCCCUGGAGACAGUGGUGUCAGGCUCAGAGCUGAAGACCUUUCAUAAGGACAUUGGAUUAUCUGUGGACAUUGUUACCCCAGAAAGGGUGAAACUAAAAUGUGACCAGGCCGGAGGGCUGAGCCAUGAGAAGAGAUGACCGGAGCAACCUGUCAGCUGAGCGCUCUAGAGCUGCAAGAGGCGCUCCACCAUCCCUAACCACAGCGGGUGCAUCAGCCAGCGGGAGGAAGCCCAGCAGUUGUUUUGCUGUUGAGCGUUUAAGAGGCACAAGGAGCACAACUGGAUUUUCAGCUCUCCAGCAGAGUUUGCAGCACUGAGAGUCAAACAGCUUCAUAGGAUUUUGCAAACUGAAAUCGAAUCAUCAUGGAACCUCACCAUGUGAGUGUCGUGCCACUUUGCUGACUGCAGAGAGGUCCACUCCCCACUUACAUGAAGGAAAGCAGCUGGCAUGUCAUUAAGUAAAACUUGGUUUUGUAAGGUGACUCUUCUACAAAAGGUACCCCAAGGCAAGCAACAAAUAUCAAAACUAUCCAGAGUUAUCCUAAUUUGUUUAAAUGAAAAUUUGGAAUGGAGAUUAAAACCUCAUGCUGCAGGGCUUAAACCAAUCUCUAAUAGAGAUCAGGAUGAGACCUGAUGU